GAACUGGAGAGUUUGAUCCUGGCUCAGAUUGAACGCUGGCGGUAGGCCUAACACAUGCAAGUCGAACGGUAACGGACCGCUGGGAUUCCUUCGGGAUGACCUUGGUGCCGACGAGUGGCGGACGGGUGAGUAACACGUAGGAAUCUGCCCAACAGUGGGGGACAACCCGGAGAAAUCCGGGCUAAUACCGCAUACGCCCUACGGGGGAAAGCGGGGGAUCUUCGGACCUUGCGCUGUUGGAGGAGCCUGCGUCGGAUUAGCUUGUUGGUGAGGUAAAGGCUCACCAAGGCUACGAUCCGUAGCUGGUCUGAGAGGAUGAUCAGCCACACUGGGACUGAGACACGGCCCAGACUCCUACGGGAGGCAGCAGUGGGGAAUAUUGCACAAUGGGCGAAAGCCUGAUGCAGCCAUACCGCGUGGGUGAAGAAGGCC
rnacentral:rRNA from 1 species